rnacentral:rRNA from 1 species
UACGUAGGGUGCGAGCGUUGUCCGGAAUUAUUGGGCGUAAAGGGCUCGUAGGCGGUCUGUCGCGUCGGGAGUGAAAACUCAGGGCUUAACCCUGAGCCUGCUUCCGAUACGGGCAGACUAGAGGUAUGCAGGGGAGAACGGAAUUCCUGGUGUAGCGGUGGAAUGCGCAGAUAUCAGGAGGAACGCCGGAGGCGAAAGCGAGUGACUGGCGCGUUCCUGACGCUGAGGUGCGAAAGCUAGGGGAGCAAACAGG